rfam:Heterocephalus glaber contig38591, whole genome shotgun sequence.
CUUAAGGUUUUUUUAAAAACCAAAAUUUAAAAAUCUCACUAUAUAU